rnacentral:rRNA from 1 species
CCUACGGGAGGCAGCAGUCGAGAAUCAUUCACAAUGGGGGAAACCCUGAUGCUGCGACGCCGCGUGGGGGAAUGAAGGUCUUCGGAUUGUAAACCCCUGUCAUGUGGGAGCAAAUUAAAAAGAUAGUACCACAAGAGGAAGAGACGGCUAACUCUGUGCCAGCAGCCGCGGUAAUACAGAGGUCUCAAGCGUUGUUCGGAAUCACUGGGCGUAAAGCGUUCGUAGGCUGUUUCGUAAGUCGUGUGUGAAAGGCGCGGGCUCAACCCGCGGACGGCACAUGAUACUGCGAGACUAGAGUAAGGGAGGGGGAACCGGAAUUCUCGGUGUAGCAGUGAAAUGCGUAGAUAUCGAGAGGAACACUCGUGGCGAAGGCGGGUUCCUGGACAUUAACUGACGCUGAGGCACGAAGGCCAGGGGAGCGAAAGGGAUUAGAUACCUCUGUAGUC